rnacentral:rRNA from 1 species
ACGGAAGGCAGCAGUGAGGAAUAUUGGUCAAUGGGCGAGAGCUUGAACCAGCCAAGUCGCGUGCGGGACGAAGGCCCUACGGGUCGUAAACCGCUUUUAUACGGGAAUAAAGUGCGCCACGCGUGGCGUUUUGCAGGUACCGUAGGAAUAAGGAUCGGCUAACUCCGUGCCAGCAGCCGCGGUAAUACGGAGGAUCCGAGCGUUAUCCGGAUUUAUUAGGUUUAAAGGGUGCGCAGGCGGGACAUUAAGUCGGCGGUGAAAUACCGUGGCCCAACCACGGGGCUGCCGUCGAUACUGAUGACCUAGAGUGCGUGUGACGUAGGCGGAAUGUGACGUGUAGCGGUGAAAUGCUUAGAUAUGUCACAGAACACCGAUUGCGAAGGCAGCCUACGAAUGCGUAACUGACGCUCAUGCACGAAAGCGCGGGUAGCGAACAGGAUUAGAUACCCUGGUA